rnacentral:lncRNA from 1 species
AGGCUUAGUAGGGUGCUAGUAGGUAAAUCUUAUAAAUUUGUAUUGAUAAAGUAAGAAUAAAUUUGGUGCCUAAAGGGGCGGGGUCACCAGUGGCCUGAUUCACCUAGUGAUAUGUCAAAUAGAUGCAGUAAUACCCUACCCAGGCCCGUAGGACCCGAGUUAAUUACAGAAACUGAUUAUAUCAAUCUCACACAAGACCCAGUCCAGAAAACGAAAGAGUUACCUCAAAUCCAAGCCGAAAGCAGAUAAUCUGUCUUUCUCUAUGAUGGAAGAAAGCCUGCUUUAGGUAGAUAAAUAUCGGGGGAUCGAGAAACCUAGCCUCAUAACUUCAUGAGCGAAGUAAAAUCCGAGCCAAAAACCGAGUGGGUGUCUAAAAGUAGGGACGUUUGCAUUUAGACAGUGCGGGAACCGAGCCCGGGUCCUUUUGCUCAAUCCAUAAUUGAAAGUCCACUUGGAACCACUCAGCCAAUCGCACAGGUGAGGCAAAGCAAAUAAUAUCUCAUCGUCCAUUGAACAAGACCCACGUCUGUCCAAGGUUGGUCCUUGAAAAUUGACGAUAAGCUGAGAGAAAGUCCCACACUUGUCUGUCCAAGCUACCCCAGAGGCGAGUGGAAGUCAAAACUUAGAAGAAAAGAGGAACAACUGGUGGUGGACCUAACUAUCUAGUGAUCACUAAAUUAUGACAUGAGAUAGCAGAAGAAACCAAUAUAGCUCAGGAGCUCCUCUAGAUUUCCUUCGCCACUAUUGUCGAUCGCUCUCCAGUCUUCGACUCAUCACUAACAGUUUGAGCCAUACCCUUCCUCACUCUGAAAUUUUCGAGCAGAUCCCAAGCAAAUUAUUAAGAGCUGGUUUCGACUAAUCAAGCCCAAAAGAUCUUGUCGGAAACAAAGAUAUGAACAGAAAAGAGAAAAAGAAAGAAGCAAAAAGAAAAGCGAUGGAAUUUUCACGCAUGACGAGUUUAGGGAAGACAUAGAUACUAACCUUUAGAAAUGCAAAGCCCGACCGACAACGAGGACCAUCGUUAGCAAGACAUAUUUAGUCUCCGCGAAACUCCAUAUUAAUAAAGAGAGAGAGAGAGAGAGAGAGAGAGAGAGAGAUGCAAUAUAACAAAACCAGUAUCUUUUGAACUGAAAUUCAAGUCAAUAGCGACAAUAAAGACAGAGGCUUAAAGAAACUUGGAAAAUGUGGAAAUGUAGCG